rnacentral:tRNA from 2 species
GCCCGAGUGGGGUAGCUAGGAUAUCCUUGAAGAUUGCGGAUCUUCGGACCCGGGUUCGAAUCCCGGCUCGGGCG